rnacentral:rRNA from 1 species
CGGACGAUGGAAGUAGAGGAAAGUGGCGGACGGGUGAGUAACGCGUGAGGAACCUGCCUUGAAGAGGGGGACAACAGUUGGAAACGACUGCUAAUACCGCAUGAAGCAUAGGGGUCGCAUGAUUCUUAUGACAAAGAUUUAUCGCUUCAAGAUGGCCUCGCGUCUGAUUAGCUAGUUGGCGGGGUAACGGCCCACCAAGGCGACGAUCAGUAGCCGGACUGAGAGGUUGACCGGCCACAUUGGGACUGAGAUACGGCCCAGACUCCUACGGGAGGCAGCAGUGGGGAAUAUUGGGCAAUGGGCGCAAGCCUGACCCAGCAACGCCGCGUGAAGGAAGAAGGCUUUCGGGUUGUAAACUUCUUUUGUCGGGGACGAGUAGAAGACGGUACCUGGCGAAUAAGCCACGGCUAACUACGUGCCAGCAGCCGCGGUAAUACGUAGGUGGCAAGCGUUGUCCGGAUUUACUGGGUGUAAAGGGCGUGCAGCCGGGUCUGCA